rnacentral:rRNA from 1 species
CAUGCAGUCGAGGGGCAGCAUGGUCUUAGCUUGCUAAGGCCGAUGGCGACCGGCGCACGGGUGAGUAACACGUAUCCAACCUGCCGUCUACUCUUGGACAGCCUUCUGAAAGGAAGAUUAAUACAAGAUGGCAUCAUGAGUCCGCAUGUUCACAUGAUUAAAGGUAUUCCGGUAGACGAUGGGGAUGCGUUCCAUUAGAUAGUAGGCGGGGUAACGGCCCACCUAGUCUUCGAUGGAUAGGGGUUCUGAGAGGAAGGUCCCCCACAUUGGAACUGAGACACGGUCCAAACUCCUACGGGAGGCAGCAGUGAGGAAUAUUGGUCAAUGGGCGAGAGCCUGAACCAGCCAAGUAGCGUGAAGGAUGACUGCCCUAUGGGUUGUAAACUUCUUUUAUAAAGGAAUAAAGUCGGGUAUGGAUACCCGUUUGCAUGUACUUUAUGAAUAAGGAUCGGCUAACUCCGUGCCAGCAGCCGCGGUAAUACGGAGGAUCCGAGCGUUAUCCGGAUUUAUUGGGUUUAAAGGGAGCGUAGAUGGAUGUUUAAGUCAGUUGUGAAAGUUUGCGGCUCAACCGUAAAAUUGCAGUUGAUACUGGAUAUCUUGAGUGCAGUUGAGGCAGGCGGAAUUCGUGGUGUAGCGGUGAAAUGCUUAGAUA